UACGUAGGGACCGAGCGUUGUCCGGAAUCAUUGGGCGUAAAGAGCGUGUAGGCGGCCACUUAAGUCCUGCGUGAAAUCUUGCGGCUCAACCGCAAGCGGUCGUGGGAAACUGGGUGGCUAGAGUGCGGGGAGAGGAGAGUGGAAUUCCUGGUGUAGCGGUGGAAUGCGCAGAUAUCAGGAAGAACACCCGUGGCGAAGGCGGCUCUCUGGAACGCAAACUGACGCUGAAGACGCGAAAACGUGGGGGAGCAAAACAGG
rnacentral:rRNA from 1 species